GACGAACGCUGGCGGCGUGCUUAACACAUGCAAGUCGAACGGAAAGGCCCUGCUUUUGUGGGGUGCUCGAGUGGCGAACGGGUGAGUAACACGUGAGUAACCUGCCCUUUACUUUGGGAUAACUUCAGGAAACUGGGGCUAAUACCGGAUAGGAGCUCCUGCUGCAUGGUGGGGGUUGGAAAGUUUCGGCGGUUGGGGAUGGACUCGCGGCUUAUCAGCUUGUUGGUGGGGUAGUUGCUUACCAAGGCUUUGACGGGUAGCCGGCCUGAGAGGGUGACCGGCCACAUUGGGACUGAGAUACGGCCCAGACUCCUACGGGAGGCAGCAGUGGGGAAUAUUGCACAAUGGGCGGAAGCCUGAUGCAGCAACGCCGCGUGCGGGAUGACGGCCUUCGGGUUGUAAACCGCUUUCGCCUGUGACGAAGCGUGAGUGACGGUAAUGGGUAAAGAAGCACCGGCUAACUACGUG
rnacentral:rRNA from 1 species